rnacentral:rRNA from 1 species
AAGGCACCACCAGGCGUGGAGCCUGCGGCUUAAUUUGACUCAACACGGGGAAACUCACCAGGUCCAGACACAAUAAGGAUUGACAGAUUGAGAGCUCUUUCUUGAUUUUGUGGGUGGUGGUGCAUGGCCGUUCUUAGUUGGUGGAGUGAUUUGUCUGCUUAAUUGCGAUAACGAACGAGACCUUAACCUGCUAAAUAGCCCGGCUAGCUUUGGCUGGUCGCUGGCUUCUUAGAGGGACUAUCGGCUCAAGCCGAUGGAAGUUUGAGGCA